AAACUGAUCCUAGAAUGUUGAUUAUUCACCACCUCCUUUCAAAAUCCAAAUCAUCUCAUUUAUUUUUUCUUGGAAAGAAAGCAUUUUCCAUUUAGGAAUACUAUAGAUAUACUUGAAAUCAACGAAUCAAUCACGCAAAAAGUAGCAUAAAAAAGAAGACAAAGAUAUAUUCCAUUUUUGAAUUGAAUAUUUCCUUUUUUGGACCCAACUAAUCACUUCCAAACGCGUGUCUAUAAAAAACGAAACCCUCAUUCUCACUCUCUUCAUCAUCACCACCACCCUCUCUCAUCAAACAAACCUUCUAGAUCCGCCAUGGCUUCCUCUAACCAAAACUUCGUCUACAUCGCCAAACUCGCUGAACAAGCCGAACGCUACGAAG
rnacentral:lncRNA from 1 species